rnacentral:rRNA from 1 species
GAGUUUGAUCGUGGCUCAGGAUGAACGCUGGCGGCGUGCCUAAUACAUGCAAGUCGAGCGAACGGACGAGAAGCUUGCUUCUCUGAUGUUAGCGGCGGACGGGUGAGUAACACGUGGAUAACCUACCUAUAAGACUGGGAUAACUUCGGGAAACCGGAGCUAAUACCGGAUAAUAUUUUGAACCGCAUGGUUCAAAAGUAAAAGACGGUCUUGCUGUCACUUAUAGAUGGAUCCGCGCUGCAUUAGCUAGUUGGUAAGGUAACGGCUUACCAAGGCAACGAUGCAUAGCCGACCUGAGAGGGUGAUCGGCCACACUGGAACUGAGACACGGUCCAGACUCCUACGGGAGGCAGCAGUAGGGAAUCUUCCGCAAUGGGCGAAAGCCUGACGGAGCAACGCCGCGUGAGUGAUGAAGGUCUUCGGAUCGUAAAACUCUGUUAUUAGGGAAGAACAUAUGUGUAAGUAACUGUGCACAUCUUGACGGUACCUAAUCAGAAAGCCACGGC